GUGCUCCCUUCAGCAGUACAUACACUGUAACUGCAAUGACACAGAGAAGAUAAACAGGAAACCUGCAUGAGGAUGACACAAGGUAUUUGAAAUGCAUUUUAAGAUACA